rnacentral:rRNA from 1 species
UGACCGUUGUAGUCCACACUGCAAACCAUGACACCCAUGAAUUGGGGAACAUCAUUGGGUGCCCGUGUGGCGGCCUUUUGUGCCGACCCUCGGCCCCAAUUUAUUUAUCAAUUUACGUGCCUAUUCUAUCACCCCCGGUUCCCUCUUUUGAGGUUCUUCCGGGGUUUUUUACGGGAAUAUCCUCAGCACGUUUCUUACUUCUUCACGCGAAAGCUUGGAGGUUACAGUCUCAGGGG